rnacentral:sRNA from 1 species
UGGUAGAUGCACCCUGAUUCCUGACCUCUGGCCUGCGGGCCAGGGGUUUUUUGU